GAUCCCACUGUCUCCCCCCUCCAAUCAGUGAAACUGAUCUCCCCAUGAAGAAGCGGGGAUACAAAUAUAAGACGAGAAGACCCCAUGGAGCUUUAAACCCAACAGCACCCGUUUAUUUUCAUCCUCACAUAAGUUAGGUUAUGCCUGUUUGGUUUUAGGUUGGGGUGACCACGGAGUAUAAAACAACCUCCAUGAAAAAAGGACCAAAAAUCCUUAUUAGAGAAAGACAUUUCUAAAAUUAAUAAAUUAAUUUUUAAUGAUCCGAUAUUCGAUCAACGAACCAAGUUACCCUGGGGAUAACAGCGCAAUCCACUUCAAGAGCUCCUAUCGACAAGUGGGUUUACGACCUCGAUGUUGGAUCAGGGUAUCCUAGUGGUGCAGCAGCUACUAACGGUUCGUUUGUUCAACGAUUAAAACCCU
rnacentral:rRNA from 1 species